CGUGGGAAUCUGCCUUUAGAUGGGGGAUAACGGGUCGAAGACUCGCUAAUACCGCAUAUGACGAAAGUUGAAAGGAGUAAUCCGUCUAAAGAUGAGCCCGCGUCCGAUUAGCUAGUUGGUAGAGUAAAAGCCUACCAAGGCGACGAUCGGUAGCUGGUCUGAGAGGAUGAUCAGCCACAAUGGGACUGAGACACGGCCCAUACUCCUACGGGAGGCAGCAGUGGGGAAUUUUACGCAAUGGGCGAAAGCCUGACGUAGCGACACCGCGUGAGCGAAGAAGCCCCUUGGGGUGUAAAGCUCUGUCAGCUGGAACGAAAAAAAUGACGGUACCAGCAGAGGAAGCAUCGGCUAACUACGUG
rnacentral:rRNA from 1 species